rnacentral:lncRNA from 1 species
GGGUCAUGCUUCAGUUCAAGUGAUGGCUCCAACCAUAAGAAGAUGGGAUAGAGUUAGUGAUAGUUUAUUUAUCCCUGCAAAAUACUGAUACCUUCUGGCACAUGGAACCUCCCCCCAUAUCCCAACAUCUGAAAUAGCUAUAAAAAUGGAGAAUCAUAAGACCACGAUCCCACAGAAUGGGACUUACCCACUUCACCAGAGGAAGAAGUCAACAGUGCUUGCUGACACCACAGUUUUGUUUUCGUCUCUACUAAGUUUCUCUCAACUGUCAAGCCACAUUUCAUCAACACUUUAGAGUGGAGCAAGCCAACACAGGAUGGAAAGGCAAAACUUAGGAGGCUAAAAUUACUGUGCAGUCUGGGAUUUGGGAGUUGUUGAUUUCCUUUCCCUUUCCCCCAGCAGUGUGGACCAUGAGAGUGGGCUGGGGGUGGCCCUCCCUCUCACUCAUAGGGGAGCAAACCAAACAGCUCAGGCUGGAAGUCCUGCAGGGAAUUCAGCACCGGGGUGGCCUUUCUCCUCAAGUCUCAGUUCAAGGUUCUGUCUAGAACGAAGACCACUUGCAUCCUGGUUGCCAGGGUUGCCUCCACCUCAUUGAGAGCAUCUUCAAACAAGGCACUUCUCCAUAGGAGGACAGGGAGAGAACCUCUUAGCACAAGCUAGGAGGAUGUUGGGGUCUGGCUUGCGGUGCUGU